UUCAUUCACUCUUAUUCUUCUACUAACUACUUGCUCGCAAUAGUUUUAGAGAAAACUGCCGUGGAAAACUUGGCUAGAAGCUGUCAAGUGUCAAGUUAAGCCACAACAUUGCCACAAACGUCUUUUCAAACCGGAUGCAGGGCCAUGUUGUGAUUGCUUCAAGCUGCACAUCCCCUAUGCUGGAGAAACCCUGAAAUAUGGGCGGACCAGAGACAACACUCAGGUCUGUAGCUGACCUUUUCCGGUGGGAAAGAGAAAUGGCCCUGUAUUUACCAGAGAGGUAGCUCAUCCACGAUGGCAAAAGAGGAAGAUCCAGACUGUUGAUUGGAAACCAAGAACAAACAAUGAGGCAUGAGGAUUGAGGGACCACUUGUCAAAUUAUCCAAGUCCAACAGGAGUGCAUCCCUCAGGUCAUCCAGUGAAUGGACAUCUUGUGCCAGUGUGAUCGGAGCGCAAGCGUCCAGUUGUACAGACUACAGCAGAUCGAGCCUGUGGACGACAGUCCAACAGGAAUGGAUCCUUCAGACCAUCUGAUGCAUGGACAUCCGGUGCCAGUGUGAUCUGAGCGGGAGCAUCCAGUUGUGGAGACUACAGCACAUUGAGCCUGUGGAUGGACAGACAUGAGGUGUGAGAUGCGGGUCAGGUUCCCCCCAUGAGGAGCAGCGCAUGAUCAACGCCACCAUCAGCCAAAAGUUUUGAGAAUGACACAAUAUUAAUUUCCACAAAGUUUGCUGCUUCAGUGUCUUUAGAUAUUUUGUCAGAUGUUACUAUGGAAUACUGAAGUAUAAUUACAAGCAUUUCAUAAGUGUCAAAGGCUUUAUUGACAAUUACAUGAAGUUGAUGCAAAGAGUCAAUAUUUGCAGUGUUGACACUUUUUUUUCAAUACCUCUGUAAUCCGCCCUGGCAAUCUGUCAAUUAACUUCUGUGCCACAUCCUGACUGAUGGCAGCCCAUUCUUGCAUAAUCAAUGCUUGGAGUUUGUCAGAAAUUGUGGGUUUCUGUUUGUCGACCCGCCUCUUGAGGCUUGACCACAAGUUCUCAAUGGGAUUAAGGUCUGGGGAGUUUCCUGGCCAUGGACCCAAAAUAUCUAUGUUUUGUUCCUCGAGCCACUUAGUUAUCACUUUUGCCUUAUGGCAAGGUGUUCCAUCAUACUGGAAAAGGCAUUGUUUGUCACCAAACUGUUCCUGGAUGGUUGGGAUAAGUUGCUCUCGGAGGAUGUGUUGGUACCAUUCUUUAUUCAUGGCUGUGUUCUUAGGAAAAAUUGUGAGUGAGCCCACUCCCUUGGCUGAGAAGCAACCCCACACAUGAAUGGUCUCAGGAUACUUUACUGUUGGCAUGACACAGGACUGAUGGUAGAGCUCACCUUGUAUUCUCCUGACAAGCUUUUUUCCGGAUGCCCCAAACAAUCGGAAAGGGGAUUCAUCAGAGAAAAUGCUUCUUUGCUGCCCUUCUUGACACCAGGCCAUCACCCAAAAGUCUUCGCCUCACUGUGCAUGCAGAUGCACUCACACCUGCCUGCUGCCAUUCCUGAGCAAGCUCUGUACUGGUGGUGCCCCUAUCCUGCAGCUGAAUCAACUUUAGGAGAUGGUCCUGGCGCUUGCUGGACUUUCUUGGGCGCCCUGAAGCCUUCUUCACAACAAUUGAACCGCACGCAAAAAAAACGAAAUACUGAAAAGUUGCUUAUGAGCUAGAAACAGAGCUGCCAUGUCUCCCGGCGCCAUCAUUGUCAUCUCUUUUUCUUCAUUGAGGUUUAUUGCCGACACCUUAAAAUACCCCAAACAAAAAAGUGUACUCUUUCAGUCUGAUUUAAACACCUAUUCAGAUCCCUCCCAGGCUCAGGAAUCUGGGAGGGGGGAACCUCUUCAUUCAGUAGUCCCUGUAACAUUUUGGCUGUAAAGUCCUGGGGAUCCAGAAAUCUAUUUGCUGGUUUCACAAUGUCUAGCUUCUUUGAUUUGUGUUAGUUUGAGUAGUGCAAUUUAUAAACACAUUCUCAUCAUCUGUACUCGUGCAAAGAGACUCACACAAUACAUUCGCAACAGUGCACGGUUUGUCAUCUCAUUAGACAGAAGGUGUUUCAACUGUGUUGGCUUGUUGUCAUCUCAUUACUCAGAAGGUGUUUCAACUGUACUGGCACAGGUGAUAUUUAACAGUGGCUGGCCCAGUACUCCAGUUAGCUUGAGAGAUGUGGUGGGUUAACGUCUUGAAACUAGGGGGCACUAUUUUCAUUUUUGGAAAAAUAACGUUCCAAAAGUAAACAGGCUAUUUUUC